CCCCGCCCCCCCUCCCCCAAAAAAGUGAUUUUGCUAAUUCUUGACUUGGGUCACAAAGGAGAAAGAGCUCCACGGUGCAUGAAUUUUUAGAAGAUCUGUCUUAUCAGAGUGUGUGUUGAUUGCUGGUAGAGCAAUAUUGGUAUUUUUGUGUUGUAAUAAUACUUACAGGAUUUUAUAAGAAGAUUUCAUUUUCUUUAAGUCUUCCUCUGCAGAAUUUUCAGAUGGAAAGCUACUUUAGUAUUUGUAGAAAUUGGCCCUGAAAUUAAUUCUUACAGUAAAUUUCAUUUUAGAGGAUCCCAAAACCUUGAGAAUGCUGUGUGGUGUGGUACUGAUUCUAGCCUAACUUUCAACAUAAAGCAAUAAAUAGAACCUUAUGACCCUAUGGGCAAAUUCCUAAAUUCACUUUAUUAAUAAUAUGCAAUGUUGAAGUAUUUCUACUCAUUACAAUUAGCCUUUUCUUCAUCAGCUAAUUUACUUAAUGUUUACUUAAUGCUAAAAUUAUAGGCUCUUGGGAUUUGUAGAAGGAAAGUAAAAAAUGAUUGUUAGAUCUUUUGCUCCAGAGAAAGCUGAGCUCAGACAGAUAUGAACUCCACAGCUGGUUAGGGGAUGCUGCUUAGCCUCUCAACAUAGUAAUCCUUUUAUCACACUCCAAACUUUGUUAACCUUGGUAGGGGGUUACUUUUAAGAAGAAUCAACUUUUUAGGUAUGGUGGCAUACACCUGUAAUCCCAACAGCUCAGGAGCCUGAGGCUGGAGAAUCACAAGUUCAGAUCCAGCCUCAGCAACUUAGUGAAGACCUAUCUCUAAAUCAAAUAAAACAGAGCUGGGAAUGUGGCUCAGUUGUUAAGCACCCCUGGUUCAAUCUCUGGUACCAAAGGGUGGGGGUUGGGGGAGAAGAAGAAAGAUAAUUUGAGGAAUAAAAGGAAGAGGCUUGGAUUUGUUAAUAUGAAAGAACAUUAUUAAGAGGUAUUAGAGCAAUGUGUGACUGGUGCCUGUGUAGGUCAUACUGGUGCCUAUGCUAGGUCAGCAUAACUCUGAUGAGAACAGAGAGCCCGGAAACACGUCUGUGCAUAUGUUAAAAAUCCCAUAAUGUGGGAUUUUUAACAGAUUGUGGGGAGUUUUCUUUAGAGUGAAAAUAUAAUACGUACUACUCUACACCCUUUCCAAAAUACAAAUUACAAGUAUAAAAGAUCUAAAUAUGAAAAACAAAACAUUUAAAUGAGAAUCUAUAAAUUAUCUUUGUGAUUUUUGCAGAACAGAGAAUUUCUUUAAAAUCAGACAUGAAAACACAACAUUUACAGUAAAUAGGAUUGCAUCACACCUAAAACUUCUGUAGAACAAUAGGCACUUAAGUAAAAAGACAAGCUGCUGACUGGAGAAAAUGUUUGCAGUACACAUAACUGACAAGGUCAGUAUCUUGAAUACACUGGAAAAACCUAAGAACCUCCUGCAAAUCAGUGAGAAAUGACAGUUGUGUGUUAGAAUAGCAGUGCUCACCCAUUUUGGUCCUGAACCCCUUUACAAAUUUAUGUAUUUGUCUAUUAUUUAAUUAUUUAAAUAAUUAAAGAGACACUAGAUUGGGUUCAAGGAACUUGUCCUCCUGCUUCGGCCUUUUGAGUAGCUAGGAUUACAGAUGUCCAUUACAACCUCCCAGUCCCUUUAUACUUUAAAAAAUUGAUAACCCAGAGUUUUUGUGUAUGUGGAUCAUACGUGUUAGAAUUAAAAUUGAGAAAAUUUUUUAAAAGUAAAAAAAAAUACAUGCUAAAUAUAAAGUUUAGUGAGAAGAAUACCAUUGUUUUACAUUUUAUAAAUCUUUUUAAUGUUUAACUUAAGAGGGCUGGACUCUCCUACCUGCAGAGCAAUCAAUCCGUUUCUAUAUGUUUUAGUUAAAUACAUGAAGAUAAUAUAGCCUUACAUAGCUAUGUAAUUGGAAAAGGAGGGGCUUUUGCAGACCCUUGCCAAAUGUGUCUCAGAGCCCUUGGAUCACACUUGGAACUGCUGCAUUAGAGAAAUGGGUAUACUAUACAAAUGGAAAAAAAGCUUAAAUAGUUAAAAACCAUGAAAAGAGUAUCAUUAUCAUAAUAAUCAGGGAAAUGUGACUUUAUUGUUUCAUGCUUUCAGAUUGCUAAGAUUCUCACAAGAUCAAGUGUUGGUGAGAAUUUGGAAAUGGAAACAUUCACUUCAUUUGGAGUGAAAUUUGUUCAAUUUGAUGAUGUCUGAGAAAGUUGAUGAUGUACACGCCCUAUAACCCAGCAAUUCUCAGUAUGUACUAGAACCCCACUUUGUAAAAAAUUCUCAACACCACAUAAAAAUAAAUAAAGAUAUUGUGUCCAACUACAACUAAAAAAUAAAUA
rnacentral:lncRNA from 1 species